rnacentral:rRNA from 1 species
UACCAGCGUCAGUAGCAUAUAUUAAAAUUGUUGCAGUUAAAACGUCCGUAGUCUGUACGUCGUCCCAAACUCACUGCAGUCUUCCGUUUUCUUCAUUGAAUGCGGUAGUUUCUGCAGUCACUCCCUUGAUCAAAUUAGGUUGUUCAAGGUAGACCAAGUCUUCAUAUUUUCACAUGGAAUUGGGUGAGGGAACUUAAGAGUUUAAGUUUCUCGUCUUAGGAUCAUCCGGGGUCAUUCGUACUCGUCCGCGAGAGGUGAAAUUCUUGGACCGGACGAAGACGACCAGCAGCGAAAGCAUCUGUCAGGGAUGUUUUCUGCGACAAAGGACGAAGGUCAGGGUAUCGAAGACGAUUAGAUACCGUCGUAGUCCUGACUGUAAACUAUGCCAACUUGGGUCUUGCUGGGCGAUGCUUUGUGAGACCCACACAGAAAUGAAAGUGUAUGGGUUCUGGGGGUAGUAUGGACACAAGUCUGAAACUUGAAGGAAUUGACGGAAGAGCACCAUAAGACGUGGAGCUUGCGGCUUAAUUUGACUCAACGCGGGAAAACUUACCAGGUCAAGACAUGGGCGUGAUUGACGGGCUAAUGACUUUUCUCGAUUCCAUGGAUGGUGGUGCAUGGUCGCACUUAGUUGGUGCAGUGAUUUGUCAGGUUUAUUCCGGUAACGAACGAGACCUCGGCCUUGUAAAUAGCUACGCUGCUUACAGGGACAUUGGCGGCUACGCCAAGGAAGCUCGAGGCAAUUGCAGAUCUGGAAUGCCCUUAGAUGUCCUGGGUCGCACGCGUGCUACAAUGACGCCACGAACGAGUUUGCGUGAUGAAAGUCACGCAUAAUCAGCAGUCGGCGUCUUAAGGGAUAGUCUCUUGUAACUGUGGGACUCCAACUAGGAAUGUCUCGUAAGCACAAGUCAACAUCUUGUGUUGAUUACGUCCCUGCUCUU